ACACUCUGUGGUGUAGUUGGUAACGCCUUGGCCUAGUAAGUUUAUGUCCUAGGUUCAAGUCCCGGUCGGGGGUA